rnacentral:rRNA from 1 species
UUGAACGCUGGCGGCAUGCCUUACACAUGCAAGUCGAACGGCAGCACGGGAGCAAUCCUGGUGGCGAGUGGCGAACGGGUGAGUAAUAUAUCGGAACGUGCCCAGUCGUGGGGGAUAACGCAGCGAAAGCUGUGCUAAUACCGCAUACGAUCCAUGGAUGAAAGCGGGGGAUCGCAAGACCUCGCGCGAUUGGAGCGGCCGAUAUCAGAUUAGCUAGUUGGUGAGGUAAAGGCUCACCAAGGCGACGAUCUGUAGCUGGUCUGAGAGGACGACCAGCCACACUGGAACUGAGACACGGUCCAGACUCCUACGGGAGGCAGCAGUGGGGAAUUUUGGACAAUGGGCGCAAGCCUGAUCCAGCAAUGCCGCGUGCAGGAUGAAGGCCUUCGGGUUGUAAACUGCUUUUGUACGGAGCGAAAAGGCUCUCUCUAAUACGGGGGGUUCAUGACGGUACCGUAAGAAUAAGCACCGGCUAACUACGU